AUUGAACGCUGGCGGCAGGCUUAACACAUGCAAGUCGAGCGGAGAUGAGGUGCUUGCACCUUAUCUUAGCGGCGGACGGGUGAGUUAUGCUUAGGAAUCUGCCUAUUAGUGGGGGACAACAUUCCGAAAGGAAUGCUAAUACCGCAUACGUCAUACGGGAGAAAGCAGGGGAUCUUCGGACCUUGCGCUAAUAGAUGAGUCUAAGUAGGAUUAGCUAGUUGGUGGGGUAAAGGCCUACCAAGGCGACGAUCUGUAGCGGGUCUGAGAGGAUGAUCCGCCACACUGGGACUGAGACACGGCCCAGACUCCUACGGGAGGCAGCAGAGGGGAAUAUUGGACAAUGGGCGGAAGCCUAAUCCAGCCAUGCCGCGUGUGUGAAGAAGGCCUUUUGGUUGUAAAGCACUUUAAGCGAGGAGGAGGCUACCUAGAUUAAUACUCUGGGAUAGUGGACGUUACUCGCAGAAUAAGCACCGGCUAACUCUGUGCCAGCCGCCGCGGUAAUAC
rnacentral:rRNA from 1 species